AUUGAACGCUGGCGGCAGGCCUAACACAUGCAAGUCGAACGGUAACAGGAAGAAGCUUGCUUCUUUGCUGACGAGUGGCGGACGGGUGAGUAAUGUCUGGGAAACUGCCUGAUGGAGGGGGAUAACUACUGGAAACGGUAGCUAAUACCGCAUAACGUCGCAAGACCAAAGAGGGGGACCUUCGGGCCUCUUGCCAUCGGAUGUGCCAGAUGGGAUUAGCUUGUUGGUGGGGUAACGGCCUACCAAGGCGACGAGCCCUAGCUGGUCUGAGAGGAUGACCAGCCACACUGGAACUGAGACACGGUCCAGACUCCUACGGGAGGCAGCAGUGGGGAAUAUUGCACAAUGGGCGCAAGCCUGAUGCAGCCAUGCCGCGUGUAUGAAGAAGGCCUUCGGGUUGUAAAGUACUUUCAGCGGGGAGGAAGGGAGUAAAGUUAAUACCUUUGCUCAUUGACGUUACCCGCAGAAGAAGCACCGGCUAACUCCGUG
rnacentral:rRNA from 1 species